rnacentral:tRNA from 1 species
AAGGGAGACCUAAUUCGGGUAUAAGACGAAAAAAGAGUAGUCGAAACCAAGAAUCAAUCCCAAAAGGUCGGAACGAGGUAUGUGGCUUUCAAACUAGGUUCUGGGUUCACACAAGACCUGAAUCAGGAACAAGGGCUAUUAGCUCAGGUGGUUAGAGCGCACCCCUGAUAAGGGUGAGGUCCCUGGUUCGAGUCCAGGAUGGCCCACCUGCACAGGUGGCAAAAACAAAGAAGCGAGGAAUCAGCACCUUAUCUCAUCUAUAUAUAAGAGAGAAUGCUGGCUCUGAGUAAAGAGUCCAGAGGAACCUUGAAAACUGCAUAGAGCUAGGUGAAAAAGCCAAAAAAGAAGACCGCAA